CUGUCCACACUGCUCCCUGACAGGGAGAACCUCACAGAAAGAAAGAGAUUUUUGUCUUCUUACUUUCCUUCUUUUUCUUGUUUUAUAUACAUCUCUUAUAACUCUGGUCACAUAGUAUGGUAAUACUGUGUGAAUAACCUGUACUGUCAAUGACCAAGGACAUACUACUUGCACAAUCGGCCAAGUAAUCUUCAUGGUCUCCAUCUAAAACUGAUCUACCUACCUUCGAAUCCAUCGACGGUACAGCGACAUCUUACGCACUGCCCUCGCCCUGAUGAAGAGGCGAUACUUUAAUU